GAGGCAGAGGUUGUGGAUAAACUGCUGUCCACCCUGGUGUGGAGUGACCUAAAAGCCAAAGAAGUGGAUGGAUACUUCAGUGAUUCACAGGAAACAGAUGAUUUUUUACAACCACUUCAAAUUUUGAAGUCUUGUCGUAAGAACUUUACCCCUUGUUAUGAGGUGACCUGGAAAAGGCUCAAAAGUGACAUCUGGUCAGAGAAGCAGAGAAAAACGUACUCCUCCAUUGUGGAACAGAAAAUGUUUGCCACAGUAUUUAAACAGAUGGUACAAGAGUAUAAAGAAGGCCUAGAAAAACAGAAAGCUGCCAAACUUCAGGAGAGAAAGACAAAAGCAGCUGAGAGAAAGAAAGAAGAAAAAUGUGCCCCAAGCAGUGGACAAUCACAGGUAACGCAAUUUUUUGCCAAAAAAAAGAAAGCGUGUUAAAUACAGGACAGAGUGUGAGCAGACCAGAUGGUUCUUCUGCUGUGUGUGAGCAGACCAGAUUGUUGUGGGCAGACCAGAUGGUUCUUCUACUGUGUUUGAGCAGACCAGAUGGUUGUGAGCUGACCAGAUGGUUCUUCUGCGGAGUGUAACAGACCAGAUGGUUGUACAUAGUAAAAUCUGUUUUCUUUUUAAUCCACACUCUUUGGAAUAAUAUUUUUUAACUUAUACAGCAGAUAUAAAGGCUAUAUUUACCUAUACAUAUAUAACAGUUGCAUUCUUAUUUUUAAUUCAGUGUUGACUUCAUUGUUUUGUGUAAAUUUAUAUGUAUACUUUUAGGAUCAUCUUUUUUUUGAAGCAAAAUCUUCCGUAGGUUUUUAUCAGUUAAGCAUCAUCGUAGCUUGGUAGAUCAUCAUUGGUUUACUGACAUCUUUUUACAUUGAAAAAAAUCUUUCAAAGCAUUAAACUUCAAUAGUCUGAUUUUGGAGAACAGAUGCUUUUGUUUAUGACAAUAAUGAAGUUAUAUCUGACUGAAUUGUAUCUUCAUAAUCUGUGUCAGAAGGUUAAAUACCGUUUUGAACAGAUGCAUUCUGUAAGUAUACUAGUCUGAAAGGCCAUGUACUGUAGUCUGUACAUCAACAGAGCCCAGACAGGGCCAAAAGAAGUGAGAAAAGUAAGCAGCCAGGGCCCAGAGAAUACCCUUGUGGGGGUCUGGGAGGGUGAAGCCCCAGGAAAAAAUGGGGAAAAUAUAACGGCAGCAGAUUUAGGUCAUAUUUAGUAUACUGUUACACAAUAUUGUUUUAGGCUAAGUACAAAAAAUGAAGACUUAACUUAAUGGCAAAGAAAACACUAAAAUGAAGUAUGUAUCAGAUGAAAGACCAUUAAACACUGUCCAGGAAAAAAGUUUGGGUAUUUUUUUUAGAAUUUUUCUGAUUAGAUUGCAUUUAAAACAUAGGAUUCUGUGGUAGGUUUUUCUGACCACAUCAGGACCAUUGACGUCACAUAAGGUUUUUACAACUUAACACAAGACAUUUCAUCAUUCAAAAUGCAUAUAUACAUACAGAUCUGUGAAUGCAUUCGCCAAUAUGACCUUGAAACGAAUUAUAUUAGGCAUAAAGUAUGAAUGUGACGUCACUGAUACCUUUGGCGUCACAACAGACCACUAUAGAAUCUGAUCUUUUAAUACCAUUUUACUCGGUUACAGAAAUACUCAAAUGAUAACGUCUAACUAUUUUCCUGGACACGUUUUAAUGGUCUACCAUCAGAUAUGUACUUCAUUUAGUGUUGUCUUUCCAUCUGACAAAAUCUGGUGUUAAGUCUGUAGCGGGAUUUAAGGAAGUAGGAUUUAAGAAAGAAAUUUAAUGUAGGGAAGUUUCAUAUAUUCAUGUUUUAAUGAAUUUUCUCGGAAGUUUUGUUAAGAUCCUUAUCUGAGGCCAUACAAGUUAAUUUACGAAGUCAAUAUUUGCCAAUAUAGCGUUUAUUUAUUCUCGUAGGAAGUUUU